UCAAAUUACAUUUUUUGAGAGAAAAACAUCAAUUUAAAAAAAUAUUUUCAAUUUCAAAAUUUUUAUUUUUUUCACAUGAUCCUUGAUCUUCCCCCACCGGCCAGCCACCCCCUCCCCAAAAAAUUAAUUUUGCUUUUUAAAAAUAUUUUCAAUUUCAAAUCCAAAAUCUACUUGUUUUCCAGAAAAAUAUUUUCUAGGAAAACAUUUUCCUCCAUACCAAACACAAACACACCCCUAGAGUUAUUCAAGUAGCUAUGUCGAUCGAUUUGGUGUACCCUUCUUGUUUUAAAAAAAUGGAAGCAGUGCAACAACAAAACAAGGUUAAUUUAUUUGGGAAUUGUUUUUCCUUCUUUCUGUGUCUCACUUCUUCUGAGCCUGCAUUAGAUUGUUUGUCCCAAUAAAUAUGUGGACUAUAAUUAGGUGGUUGAACAUUCUGUGUUUCAGGCUAUGCACUUGGUUUGGAUCCACGCUACCGCAAAGGUCUGGAAUAAUAAACUGAGGUCAUUAGGCUUCUUGUGUUGUGAGCUUGGUGUUUUCAUGAUGUAUAUGUGUGUGGUUUUGAGAAGAGGAGCGUGUUUUUGUUGGUCUGUUACAUUGUUGGAUCUCUCUUGGCUUCCCUCCAUUGGCACUUCUUAAAGGCUCAAUGCUUGUGUAUCACUUGAGAAACAAAGGGAACUGCUUCAGUUUACACUAAUCUUUUUUCUAAAAGAAUGCUGCAAGCUGGUUCUAUUAAUAACUAAUUUGGUAACCGAACCCACUGUUUUCUGUAUUUCACUGAGCAAUUAAUUAUGUUACUUAUCAGAGAUCUGUUUCUAAAUUUCAGCAAGGGUCUCACUUCACCUUGUGUGUUGGUACUUUGAAACGUUCUUGUUCAAGUAAUACAAUUCUUGUUACAGUUAGUUGAUUCAAUGUUCCGAUUUGCUGAAUUUCUGUAUGGACUCUCAAAGGAGUCGGUCCUGUUAAGGUUGGUCAAAAGAUUGAUGCUGGCAUAACAGGUCUCCUGGAUGUGCACUUCGAUGUUGGAAGAUGCCCAGGAGAGAAACAGCAGUGAUUCACUAUAAGUUAUCUUUUUUUGCUUGUUGGAUACUUCAAUCACUUGUUUGUGGAUAUUCUAAAUUUUUUCUCCCAUGAAUACCCAGAUAUGUUGUACAAUAUCUUUUCAAAUAAAAUUACAAGUUGAAAUAGAUGCUUGAUUUUUCUUCAGUGAUAUGCUUAUCUGUACCCUUUUAGGGUGAAAUAUUCCUUGUGUGAAUGCGAUCAGAUCCUUUUAUUUA